ensembl:lncRNA
UGCUCAAACUUCUCCUUACCUGGCCCUCAUUGCAGCAAAAAAAGAAAAUGGAUAGAGGGAAAAAAUGGACUUCAUGGGUGGUUUUUCAGCCUCCAUCCCCUCAGGAGACCAGAGAUGCCAGAUGAGGAUCCGAGAGGCUGAGUAACUUGCCUGAGGAAAAACAGUCAAAGAGUGGAAGUAUCACUUGGCUGCAUCUGGAUCCAGAGUCCCUGCGCUUUCCACUGCCCUACUUAGAUGGCCCUGGGUCUCCUAUAAUAUCAGCACAGCCUGGUGCCCCCAAGGCUUUGAAAAAGUCCCACAGAUUGGAACCCAGCUCAGCUCCCAGGCACCCCCCAGGUCGGGAGGGAGAAUGCAGCUUUAGAACCUUAGCUGUCACCUCUGCCACCACCUUCUUCCCGGCAGAGGGACUCCCUCCAAGACUGGGUGCAUGGGACUCUCAGUUUGGUGAUAACCCAUGGGGUUGAGUCCAUGGCAGUGUAUUAUCGUGAAAGCUGGUGACACCACGCUGGGGGUGGUAUCACUCCCCCUCCCCCGAGUCACCCCCAGGCUGUGGCUCUGAAAUGAAGGAUGGAGACAGGAGACCCCUCUUCACCCCAGUGAAGGGUGCUCAGGACCCUUCAGGCAAGGCUGCAGUUCUGUGGCCUCAUUCCUCUGCUUUCCUUGGCAGAGACUACAGAGGUUGCUGUAACACAGUUUGCUGAAUGGGAAAUGGUUGACUCAGGUGGGGGAGAGACC